rnacentral:lncRNA from 1 species
AAAGGGAGCCAGGUCCUGUGAGGGAUGGAGUGAGAUUUCAUCAUGCUAUUCAGAAUGGUGUGCAAUUGAAAACUUGUUUAUUUCUGGGAUUUUCCAUUUAAUAUUUUCAGACUGAAGUGGACCACAAGUAACUGAAACCAUGGAAAGUGAAACUGAGGAUAAAGGAGGCUCCCAUAAAUUCACAAGCCAGAAGAGUCAUUUGGAAAGUCUCUUGUCCCACCUGACGAAAAUACCCACAGGUGUGGAGGGACAGGCCACCCCUUCAUCUGCCGCCCAACGUGGGUGCCUUUCUCUAAGGUGAAGUUACGCUAAGAAGGUGAGCAUGAAAGACAAGUCAACGAAAGAGUCCCAAGUACGUCCAUGGUCAGCCUUGCGGAGCAGCAGCCCAAAGCUACUGGAGGAGAGAAGAAGGGAGGAGGAAGCGUCUGGGCAUGAGAGCAGCAGGAGUUGAGGUUACAGAGCUGUCGAAAUCUCUCCUGCCUGGACCAAAG